rnacentral:rRNA from 1 species
GAUGAACGCUAGCUACGGUGCUUAACACAUGCAAGUCGAGGGGCAGCAUGGUCUUAGCUUGCUAAGGCCGAUGGCGACCGGCGCACGGGUGAGUAACACGUAUCCAACCUGCCGUCUACUCUUGGACAGCCUUCUGAAAGGAAGAUUAAUACAAGAUGGCAUCAUGAGUCCGCAUGUUCACAUGAUUAAAGGUAUUCCGGUAGACGAUGGGGAUGCGUUCCAUUAGAUAGUAGGCGGGGUAACGGCCCACCUAGUCUUCGAUGGAUAGGGGUUCUGAGAGGAAGGUCCCCCACAUUGGAACUGAGACACGGUCCAAACUCCUACGGGAGGCAGCAGUGAGGAAUAUUGGUCAAUGGGCGAGAGCCUGAACCAGCCAAGUAGCGUGAAGGAUGACUGCCCUAUGGGUUGUAAACUUCUUUUAUAAAGGAAUAAAGUCGGGUAUGCAUACCCGUUUGCAUGUACUUUAUGAAUAAGGAUCGGCUAACUCCGUGCCAGCAGCCGCGGUAAUACGGAGGAUCCGAGCGUUAUCCGGAUUUAUUGGGUUUAAAGGGAGCGUAGAUGGAUGUUUAAGUCAGUUGUGAAAGUUUGCGGCUCAACCGUAAAAUUGCAGUUGAUACUGGAUAUCUUGAGUGCAGUUGAGGCAGGCGGAAUUCGUGGUGUAGCGGUGAAAUGCUUAGAUAUCACGAAGAACUCCGAUUGCGAAGGCAGCCUGCUAAGCUGCAACUGACAUUGAGGCUCGAAAGUGUGGGUAUCAAACAGG